UACGGAGGGUGCGAGCGUUGUCCGGAAUCACUGGGCGUAAAGGGCGCGUAGGCGGUCUUGCAAGUCAGGGGUGAAAUCCCGGAGCUUAACUCCGGAAUUGCUUUGAUACUGUGAGGCUAGAGUGAGUUAGAGGAUGGCGGAAUUCCUAGUGUAGUGGUGAAAUACGUAGAUAUUAGGAAGAACACCGGUGGCGAAGGCGGCCAUCUGGGACUCAACUGACGCUGAGGCGCGAAAGGCGUGGGGAUCAAACAGG
rnacentral:rRNA from 1 species